GAGAAUAUUUAGCAAUGGACGAAAGUCUGACUAUGCGACGCCGCGUGAGGGAUGAAGGUUUUCGGAUCGUAAACCUCUUUCGAUGGGGAAGAAAUUUCUCGUGGUAACACGGGAGCUGACGGUACCCAGAGAAGAAGCCACGGCUAACUCCGUGCCAGCAGCCGCGGUAAUACGGAGGAUGCGAGCGUUAUCCGGAUUCAUUGGGUUUAAAGGGUGCGUAGGCGGACUAUUAAGUCAGUGGUGAAAUCCUGCAGCUUAACUGCAGAACUGCCAUUGAUACUGAUAGCCUUGAGUUUGGUUAAGGGAGGCGGAAUGUGUAAUGUAGCGGUGAAAUGCUUAGAUAUUACACAGAACACCAAUUGCGUAGGCAGCUUACUGAGCCAACACUGACGCUGAGGCACGAAAGCGUGGGGAUCGAACA
rnacentral:rRNA from 1 species